rnacentral:lncRNA from 1 species
GGAGAAUUCUGGUGGUUAUAUUUAGUCCUCUUGUGACCAGGAGUCAGGCAUUCCUGAUAUAGGACGGCAGAAUUCCCAUCACACAACACAUACAAACACAACACACACACAUUCUGUCUGAGAGGGUUCUCUGAGCUGGUGGGCCUGGUAAGGGGGCAGGUGAUUCAGGAUUAUCGUCCCAGGAUUCUUGGAAGCAGAAGGGGCAUCGCCUUUUGGGGGGCUUUUAGACACGACUAGACUUACAGUUUAAUAUUAGACAUUUAAUUCAAUGUAUGGAAACAAACCUAUGGCAUUAACAUUGUAAUGUGCAUUCCUGUGUGUGUGUGUGUUUGCGUGCCUCCUCCCAGGGUUCAACUCCAACAUCAACCUGCCAGGUAGAGAGGAGCACCCAGGCUCCACCCCCACCUCCUCGUCUCCGCAGCUACAGGACAAGAACGCCAACAACCACGCCACCCCCUCCCCAAGCCCCACCCCCAUUGAAAACGGCAACAGGCUGUCCAACGGGUCAAUGGAAGAUGAGGGUCACACCAAGUCAAACUCUUCCAGCUCAUCGUCUCUGCACAGGCAUAUGGACAGCCAUCACACUCAGAGGGGUCAUCUCAACUUCUCGCCCUUCGGUGCGGGGGCUGCACUCUAAGGCAUGGCGGGCGCGGGAGCACCCCUCACAUUAGGGACGGGGUGAGUGUGGUUGACCGUAUC